rnacentral:lncRNA from 12 species
GAUAUAUGGAGAAAUAGAACUUCUUUCUGUGUCUCACAUAUUAAAUUCAUCGGGACUAUAAUUUAGCUAAAGAAAAGUUCUUGAGGCCCCUUUCGAGAAAUUUGCUGUUUAGUCAAUAGAAAUAAUUCACAGCUGAGAUGUCAGUUAUGUGACAUUCAUGUCACCCAUGCCAAGUGGCAGAGGUUGGCAAGGAAUUCUAUUCUGGUCCAUCUGGGUCUCAAUAGUAUCUCCAGCCCACCUACCAGAAGUGCAGGGCCUACCCAUCAAAUGAAUUCUAUUUGCCGUCCCUGAUCCAGGUUAACAAGCAUAUGUUGUGAUUGGAACUACUGAAAUUGUCUCUUACUACCAGUUCUUAAAUACUUAGAAGAUGAAGUUUUUAUUCCAUGGCCCCUAUGACAAGAAGAUUGAUUUUUUAAAAGAAAAGAUUGAUUGAUUGAUUUUAGAGAGAGAGAGAGAGAGAGAGAAUGUGAGUGAGUGGGGAGGGGGUAGAGGGAGGGUCAGUGGGAGACAGAAGAGAGACAAUGUGAAGCAGACUCCCAGCUAAGCACAGGGUCCGAAUCAGGGCUUGAUCUCAGGAUCUGGAGGCAAAAUCAAGUGUCAGGGGCUUAACCCGCUGAGCCACCCAGGAGCCCCAGCAAAAAGAUUGAAUUUAUGUGUGCGCCAACCCCAAGUGAUUUUGGACAGAUGUAUGACUCCACUUUGCUGUUCUACUUUCAGAAUACUCAAAGCCUCAUUUGUGGAAUGUAGAGACCCUUUAGGAUCAAAUACCAUCAUCCAGAGUUAAACUUAGGAGGGAUGGCAAUCCAGAAGUCCCUAUGUUAAGUAGCAUAACUAAUUAAGCAACAAAAGACCUCAUCUACCCUUGAAAUACAAUGCAGGUUUGUGAAUUGAUAUGUUUCUCUUAAUCAUUGUUAAUGUCAUUUAUUGAGCAUAUAUUAUGUGCUAAACCUCUGAGCUAAGACGGUUAUAAGCAUAGCCUCAUUGUAUCAACUUAGUCACCUAUGAUUAUCCCCCACUCACAGGAACAGCAGGAUGAAAUAGAGUGGCAUUUUGCAAGAACCAGACAAACGGACUUCAACUUGAUUGCUCAAUUUUUUCCAAUUAAACUUUAAAUUCUGAGAUAAUUGUAGAUACACAUGUGGUUAUAUGGAAUAAAAGUUAGAGAUUUGUGAUCUUGUAUACCCUU